rnacentral:rRNA from 1 species
UGUUUCCUACGGGAGGCAGCAGUGGGGAAUAUUGCACAAUGGGGGAAACCCUGAUGCAGCGACGCCGCGUGAGUGAAGAAGUAUUUCGGUAUGUAAAGCUCUAUCAGCAGGGAAGAAAAUGACGGUACCUGACUAAGAAGCCCCGGCUAACUACGUGCCAGCAGCCGCGGUAAUACGUAGGGGGCAAGCGUUAUCCGGAUUUACUGGGUGUAAAGGGGGCGUAGACGGCCAGACAAGUCAGAAGUGAAAGCCCAGGGCUAAACCCUGGGACUCCUUUUGAAACUGCCGGGCUGGCGUGCAGGAGG